rnacentral:rRNA from 1 species
AACGAACGCUGGCGGCAUGCCUAACACAUGCAAGUCGAACGAAGCCUUCGGGCUUAGUGGCGCACGGGUGCGUAACGCGUGGGAAUCUGCCCUUAGGUACGGAAUAACUCAGGGAAACUUGUGCUAAUACCGUAUGAUGUCGAGAGACCAAAGAUUUAUCGCCUAGGGAUGAGCCCGCGUAGGAUUAGCUAGUUGGUGGGGUAAAGGCCUACCAAGGCGACGAUCCUUAGCUGGUCUGAGAGGAUGAUCAGCCACACUGGGACUGAGACACGGCCCAGACUCCUACGGGAGGCAGCAGUGGGGAAUAUUGGACAAUGGGCGAAAGCCUGAUCCAGCAAUGCCGCGUGAGUGAAGAAGGCCUUCGGGUUGUUAAAGCUCUUUUACCCGGGAACGGAUAAUGACUGUACCGGGAGAAUAAGCCCGGCUAACUCCGUGCCAGCAGCCGCGGUAAU